CUUGACCGCUGGCGGCAGGCCUAACACAUGCAAGUCGAACGAGUGGCGGACGGGUGAGUAAUGUCUGGGAAACUGGCUGAUGGAGGGGGAUAACUACUGGAAACGGUAGCUAAUACCGCAUACCAUCGGAUGAGCCCAUAUGGGAUUAGCUAGUCGGUGGGGUAAAGGCUCACCUAGGCGACGAUCCCUAGCUGGUCUGAGAGGAUGACCAGCCACACUGGAACGGAGACACGGUCCAGACUCCUACGGGAGGCAGCAGUGGGGAAUAUUGCACAAUGGGGGCAAGCCUGAUGCAGCCAUGCCGCGUGUAUGAAGAAGGCCUUCGGGUUGUAAAGUACUUUCGGCGGGGAGGCGUUACCUGCAGAAGAAGCACCGGCUAACUCCGUGCCAGCAGCCGCGGUAAUUC
rnacentral:rRNA from 1 species